rnacentral:rRNA from 1 species
UACGUAGGCAGCGAGCGUUGUUCGGAGUUACUGGGCGUAAAGAGUGCGUAGGCGGUUUUCUAAGUUUGGUGUGAAAUCUCCCGGCUCAACUGGGAGGGUGCGCCGAAGACUGGAAGGCUAGAGUGUGGGAGAGGUAAGCGGAAUUCCUGGUGUAGCGGUGAAAUGCGUAGAUAUCAGGAGGAACACCUGCGGUGUAGACGGCUUACUGGACCAUAACUGAUGCUGAGGCACGAAAGCGUGGGUAGCAAACAGG